UACGAAGGGGGCUAGCGUUGCUCGGAAUCACUGGGCGUAAAGCGCACGUAGGCGGCUUUCUAAGUCAGGGGUGAAAUCCUGGAGCUCAACUCCAGAACUGCCUUCGAUACUGGCGAUCUUGAGUCCGGAAGAGGUGAGUGGAACUGCGAGUGUAGAGGUGAAAUUCGUAGAUAUUCGCAAGAACACCAGUGGCGAAGGCGGCUCACUGGUCCGGUACUGACGCUGAGGUGCGAAAGCGUGGGGAGCAAACAGG
rnacentral:rRNA from 1 species